rnacentral:lncRNA from 1 species
CUCGUUAGCAUAAGUAUCAACUCAUUCUGAAUUUUGUGUCCUAGAUAAUGAUAAUGAAUCUCUUUACUUUUUAUUCGACGAACAUGCUCUUGCAUUACGGGGUCGAACUCAGCAAUCAUUUGAAUCAUGCUUAAAAAGAUACCAUUAUUUUCUUGAUAUAUCUUCUCAUUGUCCCCACGAAAUGCUAAAUUAUUCUUAGCAAGAGUUUUCACAACAUAUAUUAUUCUCAAAAAUACUUGUCUCCAAUGUUCUCUAUCUCUAUUGAUUUGUUCUUGCACACUUUUGUCAAUUAUUUUACUCUUUUCAAAUCUUAAUUCCAUUUCUAUCCAUUUAUUCAUGUUAUUGAUGUGAUCACAACUUGCUUCAUGCAUUUUAAGUUUUUCACCAACAUUUUUCCA